GACGAACGCUGGCGGCGUGCUUAACACAUGCAAGUCGAACGGAAAGGCCCUGCUUUUGUGGGGUGCUCGAGUGGCGAACGGGUGAGUAACACGUGAGUAACCUGCCCUUGACUUUGGGAUAACUUCAGGAAACUGGGGCUAAUACCGGAUAGGAGCUCCUGCUGCAUGGUGGGGGUUGGAAAGUUUCGGCGGUUGGGGAUGGACUCGCGGCUUAUCAGCUUGUUGGUGGGGUAGUGGCUUACCAAGGCUUUGACGGGUAGCCGGCCUGAGAGGGUGACCGGGCGCAUUGGGCAUGGGAUAAGGCCCAGAGUCCUACGGGAGGACGCAGGGGGGAGUAUUGCACAAUGGGCGCAAGCCGGAUGCAGCAGCGCCGCGUGUGGGAUGACGGCAUUCGGGUUGUAAACCGCAUUCGCCUGUGACGAAGCGUGAGUGACGGGGAUGGGUAAAUAAGCCCCGGCUAACUACGUG
rnacentral:rRNA from 1 species